UCAGUAGAGCCACGACAGGGUGGAGA
rnacentral:piRNA from 1 species